GCGCCCGUAGCUCAACGGAUAGAGCACCUGGCUUCGAACCAGGGGGUUGUGGGUUCGAGUCCUGCCGGGCGCACUA
rnacentral:tRNA from 1 species